GUGAUACUGGAGACCUUGAGUACAAGUGAAGUAGGCGGAAUGAGUCAUGUAGCGGUGAAAUGCAUAGAUAUGACUCAGAACACCGAUUGCGAAGGCAGCUUACUAACAUGUAACUGACGCUGAGGGACGAAAGCGUGGGGAGCGAACAGGAUUAGAUA
rnacentral:rRNA from 1 species